GGCGGCAGAGCCUGUCGGCUGGGCAAGAGUCUGCAAAACUCUUUCAGACUGGUUCGACUCCAGUUGCCGCCUCCA
rnacentral:tRNA from 1 species